UGACCUCCUUCAUCAGAUCAGAAAAGCCUGAACUCGAGUACAGUAUACAUACAUCUCAGCAGAGCACAAAGCCAAGGAAAUUUCAGAAGAAUGGACCCCAGCCAGUCUUUCAACCUGCCUUCAGGAGCCUACAGUUCAUCAGAUAAAUCAGUGAUGUUGCAGCCUGAAGCACCACCACCAGCAUACCAGCACAAUCCUGCUGUAUAUCCUCCCUCCUUUCCGAGCCAAGCAGUCCCCCAAGGCCCUUACAUCCAGGGGCAGUCUGUGGUCACUGUGCAGCCUGCAUUUUUUGUGCUCACCACUCCACUGGCCAAACCAGUGCCAGAGUACACUUGCUAUUCCAUCUUCACCAUGCUGUGUUGCUGUUUUCAUCUGGGCACUGCUGCACUGGUUUACUCACUCUCUACUCGAAAUGCCAACUACUCAGGACAGCGAGAAUUAGCAGAGAGAAACUCCAAAACUGCACGUACCCUGAAUCAUGUCGCUGUUGCUCUGUGGAUCAUUUGCACUGUAUUGUUUUUUGUCUACAUGUUUGUGUUGAAUAAAAAUAUAUAGUGUAUCCAUAACUGUUAAAUCUGGAAGCAGAUUAUGCUACAAACAUAUUUGAUUCUCUUGACUUGUUGAUUCUCUUGAUUAGUGUGUCAAUAUUCACUCAGUAAAACACGCUUUAACUAAUGUGUGAUUUAAACAAUAAAAGUGUUAACUGAGGUAUUUUAAACAUGAAAACAUGAAAAAAACAGUACUUAUUCUUGUUUAUUACAGAAUUGCCAACAUUUAUCUGUCAUCUUUUUUAGCCAAAUGUAGGCCUGUCUGUUUUUGUAUCUUUACAUCUAUAAUGUUUUGACCUAUUGCAAAUAUCCUGUAUGCAGCUAAUUAUUUUACAUAGGCCUACUUUUGUAGGCUAUUAUUUUCUUACACAUUUGUAUGGACAUUAAUAUUCCAGUGAUCCACAUUGUUGAAAGGCACUAUAUAAAUAAAAAUACAUAAUAAUA